rnacentral:rRNA from 1 species
AUUGAACGCUGGCGGCAUGCCUUACACAUGCAAGUCGAACGGCAGCACGGGUGCUUGCACCUGGUGCGGAGUGGCGGAACGGGUGAGUAAUACAUCGGAAUGUACCUUGUAGUGGGGGAUAGCUCGGCGAAAGCCGGAUUAAUACCGCAUACGCUCUGAGGAGGAAAGCGGGGGACCUUCGGGCCUCGUGCUACAAGAGCAGCCGAUGUCAGAUUAGCUUGUU